rnacentral:lncRNA from 1 species
UUCAAAUCCGCAUACAGGUGGGAGGCAGAACCAAGUUGUCCAUAGUAUAUACAGUCUAUGAGUUUGACAAGGAAAGUGGCCAAUAAUUGUUUAGGUUGGGCAACUGUGUCCACCUCCUGGAUCCGCCCCUGCAGGGAUGUACCCAUUUCAUUUUUAUAAUUAGCCUUAUCCAUCCCAAAGCUUUUUGAUCUUUUGCCAACCAUUAUACCAAGUUUCACUCAACUCUAAGGGACUGAAAGCAUCAACAGUUCUUUUUUCCCUUUUUUUUUUUUUGGUGUUUUGUCGAAAUGAGUUCUGUCUCUCUGUGUAUGUACACCAUAAACAAGCCUCAGGGUCAGACCGGGGUUAUAUUUGUCUUUAAUAACUGAUUUCUCUCGCCCUGUUGCUUUUGUAGCCAAAAUAAUAACAAUAGAGGUGGUUCAGAUAGACACCGCACUGACUAACAGACUAGGAAGGCCAGGACGUCAUAACCUUCACGCCCCUCACAGAGUGUGAGCUCGCUUUAUUUAAAUCUCUGAGAUCAAAGCCUAAAAUGCAAAUUCCUACAGCUUCCACGCUGCCAUUUGAUGUUCAGGGGAGUCAAAUUAUUGUGGUGAUUACAGUAGCUGUACACAACUGGUGCAGCAGGCCAAACAAGGGUCCUUGUUGUGACUCUCAAUUAGUGGUGUGACAUCUCAGCAACCAACGUCUGAGAGGCAUCCUACAAUAAGCAAGGCUGUUUGGGCUGAUAAAGUGAUUUGGCUUGGUGGGGUCCUUUCAUCUGCACCAACAGAGGGGUAUUUGAGGCUUCUGGGUAUUCUCUCUGAACAUCCUCACACCUCCCCUCAUUGUGACAAUAGUGCCACUGUGUUAAAGGCCUCAAAGAGAGGCUGUAGGCCGACUGCACUGAAGAACUCCAGCUCAGUGGAUUGUCAUGUGGUACCAUGACUCAAAUACUUCCAAGAAGUACAGCAACGUGCAAAUACAAAUAUAAGAAAUACAACAAGCGAAACAUUAUCAUUAAAUGAAAGACAGUCAGGUGCAUUUUUAACAGCUUUUUUUGUUUUGUUUCACUUCAGCAGCAUUGUUCAGAACAGAUAUGAGUCGAUUAGCAGUAUUUCAGUGUUGUCUGAAUAUUCAAACAUGCAUCUUUCUCUUGUUUUUGUUUGUGUGUUAUUGACAGCCACUGUGAGUUGAAAGGAUAACUUUGCCAGGAGGAAGGACAGCGCAGCACAGGAUCAGGUUCAGCUGUAUUUCUGAUAACACUUUGCAUUCUGCAGGCAGCGGUGACAGCUCUGAUGCUUGGUGUUUGAUUGUCUUUCAUGUUUUUCUCCUGCCUUCAGUAUAAGCAGCAUAGCUGGGGUGGAGGUGAAAGGAUGGUGAGCGGACUACUGCAGAGGAGAGAGAUUGAGAUGUGAUAUGUUUCUGCAGAGGUGAUGGAUGGAGGCACUGGAAGGAUGUUGGUUUUCAGACACUCCAGGCUCUUACGUGUAGCAGAGUUGAAAAAAGCCCUGGUGGUACAAUACGUCCAGAACAAUUAUCAUCACCACAUGGAUCUGUUACUGAUGUUCUGGGAGAAAGAGGGCCGACUCAUUUUGAAGGGUGGUUUGAACCUUUAACCUCAGAGGGGAAGAUACAUGCUUGUUUUAUGAUGUUCUAGACCAGUAGUUCUCAAGUCCAGUCCUCGAGGCCCAAUGUCCUGCAUGUUUUGGAUGUUUCCCUGCUCCAACACACCUGAUUCAAAUUAUUAGCUCGUUAUUAAGCCAUUACAGAGCUUGAUAACGAGCUGAUCAUUUGAAUCAGGUGUGUUGGAGCAGGGAAACAUCCAAAACAUGCAGGACAGUGGGCCUCGAGGACUAGACUUGAGAACCGCUGUUCUAGACAAAAGGUCAGAGCAGAAAUCCAGGAAUAACCAGAUAACUUAAGGGAUAAAUUUGGAGAUGGUUCUUAUUUUUUAUCUUUUUGCAGCUGGCAUGAAAAACAGUCCAACAAUGAAUAUUUUUCUAAAUAUAGUCUGUGUAUAAAAAUAGAAUGUUAAAUAUGUGCAAAGGAGCUCUUUUGCACAGUAUAAGUUAGUAUAAGUAGUUUUUAUAAUUAGUUUCUGACUGUAUAGUAGUACAGAGAAUGCAGUCCAUUGGGAGUCCCAAACAUUUUUUUUUUUUCUCAGUUAGCAAAGAUCUUCAGACUCGAGGUCUCCAGGAAAGUACACAGCAUGUUUAAAUUAAAAGUCACAUUUCUUCAAGGUACAGUAUUUAGCAUAGAGCCGAAUAGGUUGGAUGAAUUUUAUUUUCAUGAGUAUAUUCAAUCAGUGUAAAACCACAAGGCCUAAAAAUUUGUUCUCAUUUCAUUACCUCAAACUAAGAGGGCAGGUACUCUUUCACAGAGGCUGCUAUCAUAUACUGCUAUGUUUCUACCGAUAAACAAACCUGAAACAGCCACUGUAUCAGCACUUCUGUAGUUAGUGAGAUUUUGUAGUUUGUAGUUUUUUGAUUCAGGAUAAUGAUUUAAAGUAAUAAAGACACUGUGAGUAUAAAUAAUGCAGCCAUUGAUUAACACCAGUCACUCUGUGGGUUGCUUAUUUUUAGAAAUAUAUAUUUACUUUACAAUUUGUCACUAAGUUAAAAUAAUGUUUAUUUACUUAACAUUGGACAAUUAUUUGAAAAUAAAAAGACAUGCUGUGAAGAUACAUUUCGAAACGGAAAUACUAAGCAAUGAAAUAAUCCCAUACUC